rnacentral:rRNA from 1 species
GGCUUAACACAUGCAAGUCGAGGGGCAGCAUGGUCUUAGCUUGCUAAGGCCGAUGGCGACCGGCGCACGGGUGAGUAACGCGUAUCCAACCUGCCUUACACUCUUGGACAGCCUUCUGAAAGGGAGAUUAAUACAAGAUGUUAUCAUGAGUAAGCAUUUUCGCAUGAUUAAAGGUUUACCGGUGUAAGAUGGGGAUGCGUUCCAUUAGAUAGUAGGCGGGGUAACGGCCCACCUAGUCUUCGAUGGAUAGGGGUUCUGAGAGGAAGGUCCCCCACAUUGGAACUGAGACACGGUCCAAACUCCUACGGGAGGCAGCAGUGAGGAAUAUUGGUCAAUGGACGAGAGUCUGAACCAGCCAAGUAGCGUGAAGGAUGAAGGUUCUAUGGAUUGUAAACUUCUUUUAUACGGGAAUAAACGAAUCCACGUGUGGAUUUUUGCAUGUACCGUAUGAAUAAGGAUCGGCUAACUCCGUGCCAGCAGCCGCGGUAAUACGGAGGAUCCGAGCGUUAUCCGGAUUUAUUGGGUUUAAAGGGAGCGUAGAUGGGUUGUUAAGUCAGUUGUGAAAGUUUGCGGCUCAACCGUAAAAUUGCAAUUGAUACUGGCAGUCUUGAGUACAGUUGAGGUAGGCGGAAUUCGUGGUGUAGCGGUGAAAUGCUUAGAUAUCACGAAGAACUCCGAUUGCGAAGGCAGCUUACUAACCUGUAACUGACAUUGAUGCUCGAAAGUGUGGGUAUCAAACAGGAUUAGAUACCCUGGUAGUCCACACGGUAAACGAUGAAUACUCGCUGUAGGCGAUAUACAGUCUGCGGCCAAGCGAAAGCAUUAAGUAUUCCACCUGGGGAGUACGCCGGCAACGGUGAAACUCAAAGGAAUUGACGGGGGCCCGCACAAGCGGAGGAACAUGUGGUUUAAUUCGAUGAUACGCGAGGAACCUUACCCGGGCUUAAAUUGCAACCGAAUAUGGCGGAAACGCUAUAGCUAGCAAUAGCGGUUGUGAAGGUGCUGCAUGGUUGUCGUCAGCUCGUGCCGUGAGGUGUCGGCUUAAGUGCCAUAACGAGCGCAACCCUUGCCGAUAGUUACUAACAGGUUAUGCUGAGGACUCUGUCGGGACUGCCAUCGUAAGAUGUGAGGAAGGUGGGGAUGACGUCAAAUCAGCACGGCCCUUACGUCCGGGGCUACACACGUGUUACAAUGGGGGGUACAGAGGGCUGCUACCACGCAAGUGGAUGCCAAUCCCAAAAACCUCUCUCAGUUCGGA